UAUAUUUUUUGUCACGGGUCUGUCACGGGUUUUGCUGUUUGUAUUGUUUUAGCUUAAACUCAUGGGCAAUUUAUAUCACGACAUAUGCCAGUUCUAAUGAUGCCAUCACGGGUCUGUCACGGGUUUUGCUGUUUGUAUUGUUUUAGCUUGAACUUAAACUCAUGGGCAAUUUAUAUCACGACAUAUGCCAGUUCUAAUGAUGCCAUCAUGGGUCUGUCACGGGUUUUGCUGUUUGUAUUGUUUUAGCUUAAACUUAAACUCAUGGGCAAUUUAUAUCACGACAUAUGCCAGUUCUAAUGAUGCCAUUACGUGACGACGUCAAAUUUAAUGGCAAUAACGUCACGUGAUUGUCUUAGUAACGUCGUCAGCCAAAAUGGAUGGAAAAUAGAUGUCCUUAUCUACGGAACAAAUUCUCCAUUUAAUACGGUCCGAACAGCCGAUAUUGGCGCUACCGUUCAGGCCAAAAGGUGGGGAAACAUGGAUUUUCAAAGGAGAAGGCUUAAAAAAACAGGAUUGGAGAGCCGAUAGACAUCGUUGGGUGAACCAAGGAACUGUGGGCCUACCUCGACGAAAUCCAAGAUUGAAGAAAAAAUAUUUCUACAUCCAUACAGAGAACGGAGCUUCAAAAGAAUUUGUGAAAUUUGUUUAUCACGAGCCGGAUUGUACCGACGGUCCAUUUGUAAUUCAGUAUAUCGGAAAUGAACAAGUUUCACAGCCAAUGUCACAUGGAAAUUCAAAAAAUCAGGAUCGUCCUUUCUUGAGAGCUAAACCAAGCAGUUUAGAAAAAUGGCUGAAACAGACAAAGUCGGAAGACCCGAAUCUUGUGUAUAAGAGAGAAAUCCAUGACGACGAGGAGCAACCCCGAGACUUGAAGCAAAUACAAAACCUGAGACAUAAAGGCAAUACUGAACUUAGAAUAUCCCGUGAUGCCUUAUAUAACCUUCAUGCGCUGGCCAGAGAUACAAGUAAUCAAUUCAUUCAGGUAAUUAAUACUUACCCAAAUUUAGUUGUUAUCUGUGGACACAAGUUAAUGUUUGAAGAACUUGAAAGGGUACUAUAUCUCGACAAUGAAAAUCAGUGUCUCAGCUAUGACACAACAUUUCAGCUCGGAGACUUUUACGUAUCUACGUUGAUAUUUAGACAUAUUCUUUUUAAAGAAAUGCCUUGCAUGCCAGCCCUCUUUAUGCUGCACGAACGCAAGUUUCAAAAACAUCACGAAUUAUUGUUCGCCUUUUUCAAAGAAAAUGUACGACUUCCCAAAACACUUUUUGCCUGUGUGACUGAUGGUGAACAAGGCAUUAUGAAUGCUAUGUCGUGUGUUCCGACUGUAGUCGAUGUGAGGUGCUGGAACCAUAUUUUGAAUGAUAUCGGAAGGUGGCUGACGGAGCAAGGGUUCUCGAAUGCGGAAGUAAAUGCUUACAAAGACCAUAUUCGUUUCAUAUUUGGGAGAGAUUCAAGAGAGGAAAGUAUGGCGGCAUUUAUGGAAUGCACUAACUGCUAUCAUUUAAUGGCUGUGAAGAAGUCUUUAGGAAUGGACUUAAGCUCAAAAGCUCAGCCAAACCUGACUAUCCUGCGCGGCCUUGAUGAAAAGAAAAAGGCGGGAAGGAAACGGCCGAGGAUAGGAGACUACGAUUAUGAGAGUUCCCUGGACAAAAAACCCGUGACAAAAGAGGUGUCACGGAAAUUGGAUUCUUCCGUGACGGAACCGGUCAUAAGCGAACAUGAAAAACCCGUGACAAAAGAGGCGUCACGGAAAUUGGAUUCUUCCGUGACGGAACCGGUCAUAAGCGAACAUGAAAACCCCGUGACAAAAGACCCGUCACGGAAUGUAGAGUCAUCCGUGACAGAACCUUCAUACACAAUAUAUAUAGAAGAAAACAUAGAACCUGGACAGCCAGUUGCGUCAAAUACAUCUGUCAGUGGACCUGAUUGGUUAGAUAUUGGAAACCUUAAACUUAAGGACGAAGAAAAAAACAUUCUUUAUUCACCAACAGAGUGGCUUAAUGAUCGGAUUAUAGACGCAGCAAUGAUUCUCAUGAAGAGACAAUUUCCACAUAUAUGGGGUUUGGACAGUUGUUUAAACGCGGUCAAUCUGACUUUUCCUCGUGCAUAUGGUAAUUUUAUCCAGAUUGUAAACAGAACUCCAGAGCACGGGGGAUCCCACUGGCUUACUUUGUCAACCAUGAAAACGAACAAUAAAUCGGAAAUAAAAAUAUACGAUUCCAGCUUUAUCUUUAAGCUUUCAAGUUCAACAAGUGGUGUGUAAUUUACUUAAGAAGGAUACCCCACCAAAGAAGUCUGACAAAAUUUUGUUAAAAUUCAUGGACUGUGCUUUUCAGGAAAACGGUAAUGACUGUGGUCUGUAUGCAGUUGCAAAUGCCAUAGUGGAAGCUAAUGGAAUAGACCCGUGUACUGAAAAAUAUAAUGUGGAACUUUUACGUGGGCAUUUAAUUAAUUGUUUAGAAAACGCUAAACUAACACCAUUUCCUGCCGGUUCUAGGACCCUUGAGCAUGCAAGUGGUGUUAGAUACACCGCUUAUCUAAAAGUAUUUUGUUCAUGUAGAAUGCCUGAAGAUGGUAUGUAUGUUGUUUGUGAUAAAUGUAAAAUAUGGUACCACCCUGAAUGCGAGGGUCUACAAAAAGAUGACAUACCAGCAGAUGACGUUCCUUACUACUGUAAAAAAUGCACACACCCCAAAAAGCAAAAUAGAAAACGCACAAAAAGAAAAUGAUUGUAUAUUUUAAGAUUUGUUAUUGUUAAUAAAAAUGUCAAUAAUUACGAUUUUGUGGUCAAUGUUUAACCAAAUAUAAAGAAGCCAAUCAUCGGAAGCAUACGAAACGUUCCGGAAAUUACCAAGUCAUGUCCGUCCAUUGUUAUACGGGGCGUUCCGUAGUUUGCCGAAUGCAAUCCUAUUUCUAAAAAUAGAAAGCGUCACGGUGUUUAGUACCUUAAGAAGUCCAUCACGGAAAAUUCAAUGUGUCACGGAUAUUAGGUGUUUGUCACGUAUUUAUGUCGUCACGGGCAUCACGGAAUUCAAGAUUGUCACGGGUUUUAGGUGAUCCCGCAUAAUACUGCCGAAAUCCACUUUGUUUCUUUUGGAUGGGUAUAGAGCUGGUAUAGAUGUUGGCCAGGAAGAAUGUCUGCAGGAAGGAUUCAAUACAAGUUUUACCCAGUCUUCAAAACUUCUUUUUGCUGUCUCGGAAUUAAGAGGAAUAGUUAGCGGGAAACUGUCUUACCAGUUGAUGAAGCCAGGGGUACUGUCACCUGAUCAAGAACAGCUCCUGCAAACUUUGCUUGGUGAUAUUGUAGAAUACGAGACACAUUUACUCAAGUUUUCAAAUGAACUCUACUCUCAUUUAAAACAGAAAGAGGACUCGUCAUGCAACAGUGGUGCAGAAAUUAACCCUGGCAUUAACAACAGAUUAACAACCAUAGUUGAUGAUGAUGAAACUGAAUAUAAUAUUGACAUUAAAGACCGCUCAAAUACUGAAAGCAGAGCUGGUAAUGCAAAUUCAAGAACAGUCGGUGAAAAUAAUUUAGUUAGUGAAUUGACUGACAGUGAGAGCCAGGAUGCUUCUUCUUUAGUUAAAAUUAAUAAGUUUGAAAGUCGGUUAAAAACAAUUUUGACACAGGAAAGUUGAACUAGUCUCAAGUAAGGAUGUUGUCUGGUUCAGUUUCAGUUAUGUAUCGGCAUUCUGGCGUUCUGCUGGUCAGAUAUUGAAAUAAUCAGUAAACAUACCUGUCAAGACACACGCAUUGCACGUGUGUCACACACAUUUUGGCCCUAGAUCACGCUCACACGCCUACUUUUCAAGGUUACACGCAUUUUAAAGCAAUAAAGCAGUCAAUUGUUUUUUUGUAGAAAAUUAUUGAAUCGAACAUGCGAGGCGACGUUGACACGGUGAUUUCAUUCCGUAUAUAUAAUACAGCUUUUACAUUCACCGGUGCAACAUGUUAUUUCUACCACAUGAAUAAAUGUCACAAAAAGUAAACAUGGAGGGAGACUAUUCAAAACCAUAUCUAUUUUGUGUUAAAAAUCUAAAUUUUCCAUGUGAGGGCGUGUCUGGCUUUUAGGGAUCAUCGCCCUCCAGACCCCCACGAGGGACAACCUUUCCUUCGAACCCCGACCACACUCCUGGCCUUAGUGGAGCCUUGACAACUAUGCAGUAAAUGUGAUAUUACUUUUGUUGCCUUGAUUUCAAAGAAUGGUUAUGAUGAUCUUGAUUUCUGAACAAGGGCAAGUGCUUUAUUCUACAGGUCUGAUGUUGGUAACUUUAAAAAUAUAUUAAGUUAAGUUUUCACAUUGUUUUUGUUAACUUGAAUCUGAUUGUGUUACACAAGUUUACAUCUAAUUUAGUUAAUAUUCAAAUUUAUGUGGUAGGAUGACACCACAUCUAGAUUCUGACAAAUUACAUCUAGUCAUUGUGUCACUACUCCUUUACUGAGAGUCUUCGUAUUAAAUUAUGAAAUGUUAAA
rnacentral:misc_RNA from 1 species